UACGGGGGGGGCAAGCGUUGUUCGGAAUUACUGGGCGUAAAGGGUUCGUAGGUGGCCAACUAAGUCAGACGUGAAAUCCCUCAGCUUAACUGGGGAACUGCGUCUGAUACUGGACGGCUUGAGUAUGGGAGAGGAACGUAGAAUUCCAGGUGUAGCGGUGAAAUGCGUAGAUAUCUGGAGGAAUACCGGUGGCGAAGGCGGCGUUCUGGACCAUUACUGACACUGAAUCGCGAAAGCUAGGGGAGCAAACGGG
rnacentral:rRNA from 1 species